rnacentral:rRNA from 1 species
GACGAACGCUGGCGGCGUGCCUAAUACAUGCAAGUAGAACGCACAGUUUAUACCGUAGCUUGCUACACCAUACACUGUGAGUUGCGAACGGGUGAGUAACGCGUAGGUAACCUGCCUGGUAGCGGGGGAUAACUAUUGGAAACGAUAGCUAAUACCGCAUAAUAUUAAUUAUUGCAUGAUAAUUGAUUGAAAGAUGCAAUUGCAUCACUACCAGCUGGACCUGCGUUGUAUUAGCUAGUAGGUGAGGUAACGGCUCACCUAGGCGAAGAUACAUAGCCGACCUGGAAGGGAGGUCGGCCAAACUGGGAAUGGGAAAAGGGCCAGGUUCCUUAGGGGGGCAGCAGGAGGGAAUCUUCGGAAAUGGACGAAAGUCUGACCGAGCAAAGCCGCGGGGGGGGAGAAGGGUUUCGGAUCGUAAAGCUCUGUUGUAAGGGAAGAACGGGUGUGAGGGUGGAAAGUUCACGCUGUGACGGUAUCUUAACAGAAAGGGACGGCUAACUACGUG